GCGCAGUUGGCGCAAUGGAUAGCGCAUAGUCCUCCUAUUUGCCACUGGAGAAAAAACUUUCCUGUAAUAGGGAGUAAACUGCUUCCCUUUGGUUAUAUAGUGAAAGACUGGGGUUGCGGGUUCGAGUCCCGUGCUGCGUG